UGGGGAAUCUUCCGCAAUGGACGAAAGUCUGACGGAGCAACGCCGCGUGAGUGAAGAAGGCCUUCGGGUUGUAAAGCUCUGUUAAUCGGGACGAAAGAGCAGUAUGCUAAUACCAUACUGAAGUGACGGUACCGGAAUAGAAAGCCACGGCUAACUACGUGCCAGCAGCCGCGGUAAUACGUAGGUGGCAAGCGUUGUCCGGAAUUAUUGGGCGUAAAGCGCGCGCAGGCGGAUCUGUAAGUCUAUCUUAAAAGUUCGGGGCUUAACCCCGUGAGGGGAUGGAAACUGUGGAUCUUGAGUAUCGGAGAGGAAAGUGGAAUUCCUAGUGUAGCGGUGAAAUGCGUAGAGAUUAGGAAGAACACCAGUGGCGAAGGCGACUUUCUGGACGAACACUGACGCUGAGGCGCGAAAGCCAGGGGAGCGAACG
rnacentral:rRNA from 1 species